CGGCCAUCCCCGGGGGACCGCGCCUGAGCGGUUGAGAGUUGGCUGAAGCCAAGACCCGCUGAACCUGAUCCGGUUGAGACCGGCGUAGGGAGGGAGCGGCCUUUACCC
rfam:Ricinus communis cultivar Hale ctg_1100012336626, whole genome shotgun sequence.